ACAUUGUGUUAUUAAUAUUCCGUUGUACAGUUUUGAAAGUAAGCCUGAGAUCUAGAGCGUACGUAGAUCUGGUCAUAAAGAAACUGAAGCCAAUGAAGAUGACCACAGGCGACAUGGAGUACAUGCAGCCACUACGGACGACACUAUUACUAGUCGCACUUAGAUAUCACAGGAUUUAUAACACAAAAGUUCUUGCCGUACAAGGUGGAAAGGACAUACCAACACAUCCAGGGACUCAUCAAUCUGAUAGUGGCCAACAGAAUAACAGAUAGAACUGGAAUAUCUAGCCAAAACCCUUGCAUCAAAUAGAUCCCAGAAGAUUCAAACUCCUAGCCCAUGCUCCUCCACCAUCUACUGCCCAAAUGGUAGAGGAGAAGAAAUCCCAAUUAAGAUGAAUGGGAAUAAUUGACAUUUUGAGACUAAUCACGUUCCAGAGACUAUUACUUUUGAAUAUCUGUCCUUACGUUUAGUAGCUGACCUGGUCCGAAGGACCAAGGUGAGUAUGCCAUACUGAGGCGUCCGGCAUUCGUCUAUCAACAUUGUGAACACAAUAUUUGAAUAACUUGAGUAAAUGUCAGAAUAUACCAAAUUUGAUAAAACUUUAUAAGCAGCCAUAUAUCGACAAGAUCUCAGACAACUUCAAAAAUAGAAAUUAUUGGACAGUAGUUUUUGACAGUAGUUUGCAGAGUUAUUGCCCUUUGUAAUGGUCUUAUUAUUAACAUUUUUUUAGUUCACUGGUCAGAAUGGAAACUCUUUUAGAAAUUCUACUAGUCCUGAACAAUUAAAUGGAUUUGAUGAAAUUUGGUCAGGAGAAUUAUGUGGCAAUGUUAUAUGUUGCAUAAAUGAAGCGUCACCAUCAUCUGAGUGGCACCUUUCGGGGCAAAAUAAGAGAAUUACCUGGUAUAGCAAAAAAAAAAAGGAUUUAACUCAUUUUUUUUUU